rnacentral:rRNA from 1 species
GGCGAACGCUGGCGGCGUGCCUAAUACAUGCAAGUCGAGCGGAUCUUCAUUAGCUUGCUUUUGAAGAUCAGCGGCGGACGGGUGAGUAACACGUGGGCAACCUGCCUGUAAGACUGGGAUAACUUCGGGAAACCGGAGCUAAUACCGGAUAAUCCUUUUCCUCUCAUGGGGAAAAGCUGAAAGACGGUUUCGGCUGUCACUUACAGAUGGGCCCGCGGCGCAUUAGCUAGUUGGUGAGGUAACGGCUCACCAAGGCGACGAUGCGUAGCCGACCUGGGAGGGUGAUCGGCCACACUGGGACUGAGACACGGCCCAGACUCCUACGGGAGGCAGCAGUAGGGAAUCUUCCGCAAUGGACGAAAGUCUGACGGAGCAACGCCGCGUGAGCGAUGAAGGCCUUCGGGUCGUAAAGCUCUGUUGUCAGGGAAGAACAAGUACCGGAGUAACUGCCGGUACCUUGACGGUACCUGACCAGAAAGCCACGGCUAACUACGUGCCAGCCGCCGCCGUAAGAC